rnacentral:rRNA from 1 species
GACGAACGCUGGCGGCGUGCCUAAUACAUGCAAGUAGAACGCUCAAGGAGGAGCUUGCUUCCCUGGACGAGUUGCGAACGGGUGAGUAACGCGUAGGUAACCUGCCUGGUAGCGGGGGAUAACUAUUGGAAACGAUAGCUAAUACCGCAUAAUAGUAGAUGUUGCAUGACAUUCGCUUAAAAGGUGCAGUUGUAUCACUACCAGAUGGACCCGCGUUGUAUUAGCUAGUUGGUGGGGUAACGGCUCACCAAGGCGACGAUACAUAGCCGACCUUAGAGGGGGGUCGGCCACACUGGGACUGGGACACGGCCCAGGCUCCUACGGGGAGCAGCAGUAGGGAAUCUUCGGCAAUGGACGGAAGUCUGACCGAGCAACGCCGCGUGAGUGAAGAAGGGUUUCGGAUCGGAAAGCUCUGUUGUUAGGGAAGAACGAGUGUGAGAGUUGAAAGUUCACGCUGUGACGGUAUCUUACCAGAAAGGGACGGCUAACUACGUG